AUGAGACGUACAUGCUACUGAUGCUUUUUGUUAUUUUUUUGGUGCAUUUCCACACUAUACAAACACAUUGCUUGACUCCUAAGUGCAUACACUUUUGCCUUUAUAAUGUCAUUCUCAUUUUUAGGUAAAAAUUUAUUCCAUGAGUCAGUGUUUUGCCUGAAUGUCAACAUAAUAUCCAAAAACUUUGAUAGAAAAAGUGAUUUAUUUUAAUAUUUUACACUACUAUGUAUUUUUUAAAAUACACUGAGCAUGUGUAUGUUUAUUGUACUUAAUGAAAUUACACGCAAGGUGUAAUUUGUUUCGUAGGGUCACAUAAUGAACAGCCAUCUUAUAGACAACCGAAAGAGGCAUAGUAUUGUUUUCUUGUGUAUUGUCAUACACCUAAAGAGGAUUUUUUUAAUCGUACAAUUAUGGUGUUAUUCAUUCAUUAAUGUGUCCUUUCUUACCUUAUAUAACUUAUAAUUUUUUACACCUUUUGUUUUUAUUGUCUAUAUAGUAUUGUCUACAAUCUCAAAUUCUGGAUUGACGCCCCAGUACCAGAGGGCACCCCAAUCCCAGAGAGCAUCCAUCUGAAAGCAGGUGAGGUAACACAACGAAAAAAUUACCGGAUGGAGACUACCUGAUUCUUUGCCCAUGGCCUCAGCUUCAAAUGCAAGAAGUCCAGCAACUGUCUGAGCUGGUGGAUAUUCUGUCAGAGACUGCGUGAACAAUGUUAUGAACAGAAUGAUGUCUAAUUGUCUUAUGGCAAAGUUCAAUAUGAGGGGUGGUGGACAUCUGGAAAAGAAGUCUUUUAAAGGCACACCUUUGUAUUAUGUUAUUCAAGAUGCUGUGAAGAGGUGGAGCCCAAAUGCCACCGACUCGGAAAUAGAUGCAGCUAUGGCAGACCACCUCAAGCAUGGUCCAGGAUGAGCUGGGGGUUGUGAAUACAAAAAAUAAGCCAAACAGCUGUAAUGUGUUAAAGAGAGAGUUCACCCAAAAAUGAAAAUUGUUAUAAUUUUCUUACCCACAUGUUUCAAACCUGUAUACAUUUCUAUUUUCUGCUGAACACAAAGAUUGAAAAAUGUUUGUAACCAAGCUAACUGUCAAUAAUUUUUUUUACAAUUGUAGUACUGGGUUGUGAGAUC